GUGGGGAAUAUUGGACAAUGGGGGGAACCCUGAUCCAGCCAUGCCGCGUGUGUGAAGAAGGCCUUUUGGUUGUAAAGCACUUUAAGCGAGGAGGAGGCUACCGAGAUUAAUACUCUUGGAUAGUGGACGUUACUCGCAGAAUAAGCACCGGCUAACUCUGUGCCAGCAGCCGCGGUAAUACAGAGGGUGCAAGCGUUAAUCGGAUUUACUGGGCGUAAAGCGCGCGUAGGUGGCCAAUUAAGUCAAAUGUGAAAUCCCCGAGCUUAACUUGGGAAUUGCAUUCGAUACUGGUUGGCUAGAGUAUGGGAGAGGAUGGUAGAAUUCCAGGUGUAGCGGUGAAAUGCGUAGAGAUCUGGAGGAAUACCGAUGGCGAAGGCGACUACCUGGACUGAUACUGACACUGAGGUGCGAAAGCGUGGGGAGCAAACAGGAUUAGAUACCCUAGUAGUCC
rnacentral:rRNA from 1 species